UCGAUUCGGGGCGUGGACCG
rnacentral:siRNA from 1 species